rnacentral:rRNA from 1 species
AUUGAACGCUGGCGACAGGCCUAACACAUGCAAGUCGAACGAGUGGCGGACGGGUGAGUAAUGUCUGGGAAACUGCCCGAUGGAGGGGGAUAACUACUGGAAACGGUAGCUAAUACCGCAUACCAUCGGAUGUGCCCAGAUGGGAUUAGCUAGUAGGUGGGGUAACGGCUCACCUAGGCGACGAUCCCUAGCUGGUCUGAGAGGAUGACGAGGCACACUGGAACUGAGACACGGACCAGAGUCCGACGUGGGGCAGCGAAGGAGAAGAUUUGACAAUGGGCGCAAGCCUGAUGCUGCCAUGCCGAGUGUAUGAAGAAGGCCUCAGGGUUGUGAAGUACUUUCAGCGAGGAGGCGUUACUCGCAGAAGAAGCACCGGCUAACUCCGUGCCAGCAGCCGCGGUAAUAC